CAAGUAUGGUGCCAGCAGCCGCGGUAAUUCCAG
rnacentral:rRNA from 1 species